GCAAGUCGAGCGAAUCUGAGGGAGCUUGCUCCCAAGGAUUAGCGGCGGACGGGUGAGUAACACGUGGGCAACCUGCCUGUAAGACUGGGAUAACUUCGGGAAACCGGAGCUAAUACCGGAUAAUAUUUUGAACCGCAUGGUUCAAAAGUGAAAGACGGUCUUGCUGUCACUUAUAGAUGGAUCCGCGCUGCAUUAGCUAGUUGGUAAGGUAACGGCUUACCAAGGCAACGAUGCAUAGCCGACCUGAGAGGGUGAUCGGCCACACUGGAACUGAGACACGGUCCAGACUCCUACGGGAGGCAGCAGUAGGGAAUCUUCCGCAAUGGGCGAAAGCCUGACGGAGCAACGCCGCGUGAGUGAAGAAGGAUUUCGGUUCGUAAAACUCUGUUGUUAGAGAAGAACAGCGCAUAGAGUAACUGUUAUGCGUGUGACGGUAUCUAACCAGAAAGCCACGGCUAACUACGUGCCAGCAGCCGCGGUAAUACGUAGGUGGCAAGCGUUAUCCGGAAUUAUUGGGCGUAAAGCGCGCGUAGGCGGUUUUUUAAGUCUGAUGUGAAAGCCCACGGCUCAACCGUGGAGGGUCAUUGGAAACUGGAAAACUUGAGUGCAGAAGAGGAAAGUGGAAUUCCAUGUGUAGCGGUGAAAUGCGCAGAGAUAUGGAGGAACACCAGUGGCGAAGGCGACUUUCUGGUCUGUAACUGACGCUGAUGUGCGAAAGCGUGGGGAUCAAACAGGAUUAGAUACCCUGGUAGUCCACGCCGUAAACGAUGAGUGCUAAGUGUUAGGGGGUUUCCGCCCCUUAGUGCUGCAGCUAACGCAUUAAGCACUCCGCCUGGGGAGUACGACCGCAAGGUUGAAACUCAAAGGAAUUGACGGGGGC
rnacentral:rRNA from 1 species